rnacentral:rRNA from 3 species
GCAUAUCAAUAAGCGGAGGAAAAGAAACCAACAGGGAUUGCCCUAGUAACGGCGAGUGAAGCGGCAACAGCUCAAAUUUGAAAGCUGGCCUUCGGGUCCGCAUUGUAAUUUGUAGAGGAUGCUUUGGGUGAAACGCCAGUCUAAGUUCCUUGGAACAGGACGUCAUAGAGGGUGAGAAUCCCGUAUGUGACUGGAAAUGUUAACCUAUGUAAAGCUCCUUCGACGAGUCGAGUUGUUUGGGAAUGCAGCUCUAAAUGGGAGGUAAAUUUCUUCUAAAGCUAAAUAUUGGCGAGAGACCGAUAGCGCACAAGUAGAGUGAUCGAAAGAUGAAAAGCACUUUGGAAAGAGAGUUAAAAAGCACGUGAAAUUGUUGAAAGGGAAGCGCUUGCAAUCAGACUUGUUUAAACUGUUCGGCCGGUCUUCUGACCGGUUUACUCAGUUUGGACAGGCCAGCAUCAGUUUCGGCGGCCGGAUAAAGGCUCUGGGAAUGUGGCCUUCACUUCGGUGAAGGUGUUAUAGCCCAGGGUGUAAUACGGCCAGCCGGGACUGAGGUCCGCGCUUCGGCUAGGAUGCUGGCGUAAUGGUUGUAAGCGACCCGUCUUGAAACACGGACC